AGGGAAUCUUCGGCAAUGGACGAAAGUCUGACCGAGCAACGCCGCGUGAGUGAAGGAGGCCUUCGGGUUGUAAAGCUCUGUUAUACGGGAAGAUAAUGACUGUACCGUAUGAGGAAGCCACGGCUAACUACGUGCCAGCAGCCGCGGUAAUACGUAGGUGGCGAGCGUUGUCCGGAUUUACUGGGCGUAAAGGAUGCGUAGGCGGAUAAUUAAGUGAGAUGUGAAAUACCCGGGCUUAACCUGGGGGGUGCAUUUCAAACUGGUUGUCUAGAGUACAGGAGAGGAAAGUGGAAUUUCUAGUGUAGCGGUGAAAUGCGUAGAUAUUAGGAAGAACACCAGUGGCGAAGGCGGCUUUCUGGACUGUUACAGACGCUGAGGCAUGAAAGCAUGGGUAGCGAAC
rnacentral:rRNA from 1 species